rnacentral:misc_RNA from 1 species
AAAGUCGUAACAAGGUCUCCGUAGGUGAACCUGCGGAGGGAUCAUUAUCGAAUGGCCGCCCGGCCUUCAAACCUCAAAAACCUGUGGAGCAAAGAUGUGCUUCGGCGCUUCAGGCGCCGCUUUAAUGCUGUCAUCAGUUUGUGUCUGAAUGAGACUUGGAUGAAAACUUUCAACAAAGGAUCUCUUGGCUCUU